GGUCUUGUAGUGUAGUGGUUAUCACUCGGGAUUUUGAUUACACUUACUUGGUGCAACCAAUUUGUGAAUUUCCCGAAACCCAGGUUCGAACCCUGGCAAGACCU